UUGGGUAAAAGAGAGCUUUCUUCAGUCCACUCACUGGUGGGUGCAGGGUUUCUUUAGCUGCCGACUCAUUCAUCCAAGUAUCAAGAACUACGUAUAUGGCACUGCUUGGUAUCUGAGUGAAUGAUGCGGGAGGUAAACUGGAUCCUGUGCUGCCUGUGCUUGGACUGAAGGGAGCUCCCUUCUUUGCAUCC
rfam:Musa acuminata subsp. malaccensis Doubled-haploid Pahang (DH-Pahang) genomic chromosome, chr4